GCCGGGUGUGGUGGCGCACACCUGUAAUCCCAGAGGCUUGGAAGGCGGAGGCAGGAGGAUCGCAAGUCCAAAGCCAGCCUCAGCAAUUUGGCAAGGUGCUAAGCAACUCAGUGAGAACCCUGUCUCUA
rnacentral:sRNA from 1 species